UUGCGUUAAGGAUAGUAGCGAAAAUCCUUAUUUGUUUUUACAAAUAAGAUUGUAGCGGAUAGCCUGACCUCGU
rnacentral:sRNA from 1 species